UAAAAGUGUUUUUGCAACGUUCUUAAACACGAACGUUGCAAAAAGUCUCUUCCCCUUCUUUAACAAAUCAACUUAACUCAAAUCAUUCUCAUUUCACUAUUUGGGUGUUCCUUCCCAGUUCUUGCCCCGAUUGUGGUAGUGAUCUCUCUCUCUCUCUCUCUCUCUCUCUCUCCCAGUUCCUUUCCACCCUCCCUAGCAGAAGUGACCGUGUCUUUCUCUCACCCUUUGCUAUCUCUGAUUCUCCACUCCGAAGUCUGCACAUUGCUUCCUGAGUAGUUGAGUUAAUCCAUUGCUCUUGUCUACCGUCUGCACAGUGCCAGUCAUCUUUUGUCGUGGUCGGAACUCUACGGUUUCUCAGUCUAAUUAUUCUUUGGAGAGUUUCAAAUUGAGAUUCUAAAGAAGUACAAAUAUUUAGGUGAACUAUGAUGCAUUCGAUUAUGAUUGAUUUUAUUAUUAUGCCUAAUGUGGAGAAUGAAAUUAUGAUACCCUCUAACCUGAACAUAAUAUUAAGGAUUUUUUCUCUAACCUUAUUGGUGAAGUUCUUAAGGUUAUUAGUAUUGAACGGGGGAAAAUCUCUUGCCUCCUCACCGUCAAACCUCCUACACUGGGGAUGUUCAUUGGAUUGCUAGGAAAUUUGUCUUUGAUGUUGUAUUUAUCAAGAAGAGGAAGACUAAAGCCAAUUAUAAAUUGUUCGUUCUCUCUGAACAAAAUUUAUGGACACUUGAAUGCUAUUAAGUCGCACAGUCAAAAAAGAGUUAUGUCCCAUGUUUGGUCCAUCACUGAUAAGAAGGAUUCUCAGCUCUUUUACCCCGGACGAGUUACCAGCCACCAUCAGUUGCUUCAGUUGCUGGUAUCCUGGGAGAAAGUGGUAGCCAUUCUAGCCUGACACGGAGUGGGUCAUCAUUUCUCAAGAAAUCAUACACGAGUGAUGACGAGCUUGAUGAAUUAGAUUCGCCUAUGACAUCUAUCAUUAUUAACACACAUUCACCAAAGCCGAGUUGGAUGCCAAAAGAAAAUGGAGGCCGAAAUGCUGUCAGGUAUCAACUUCUCCGUGAAGUAUGGACGAACAGCGUAUUUUGAAGAAAUUCAAUCAAGUGCAAUCAAUAUAAAAGCAACAUAAGAAUCUGACUCAAUAUGCAUAAAAAGAUGUACAUUAAUUUAAUUCUAUGUAAUAACGUUUCACUUGCUCUGAUUGUGGUUGAUGGAUAAUUUGAGUGUAUUAAUUUAUCCAAAGAAAUUUCUUAUUUAA